AAUGGCUGCGGUAUUCUGACCGUACAAAGGUAGCAUAAUCAUUAGUUUCUUGAUUAGAAGCUGGUAUGAAUGGUUUGAUGAGAAAAAUUCUGUCUCUGGUUAAAUUUAAUAGAAUUUUAUUUUUAAGUUAAAAAGCUUAAAUAUUAUUUAAAGACGAGAAGACCCUAUAGAGUUUUAUAUUAAAGUUAAUUAUUAAUAUUAGGUAUUUGUUUUUGUUUAAUUAAUUGUUUUUAUUUUAUUGGGGUGAUGAGAAAACUUGAAUAACUUUUCUUUUAUUAUAACAUUAAUUUAUGAAUAACUGAUCCACUUUAUGUGAUUAAAAGAUUAAAUUACCUUAGGGAUAACAGCGUUAUUUUUUUGGAGAGCUCUAAUCGAUAAAAAAGUUUGCGACCUCGAUGUUGGAUUAAAAUUAACUAUUGGCGCAGUAGCUGAUAAGUUUGGUCUGUUCGACCUUUAAAAUUUUACAUGAUCUGAGUUUAAACCGGUGUGAGCCAGGUUGGUUUCUAUCUUAAGUUAAGUUUGAUGAUUCAGUACGAAAGGACCGAUCAUUGGUAAUAUUUAUUUAUUUUGUUUAGAAUACUAAUGUUACUUUGGCAGAUUAGUGCAUUAAAUUUAGAAUUUAAACAUGUAUUUAUAUACAGGUAAUAUUUGAUAUUUAUUGAUUAUAUUUUAAUAUUUGUAAGUAUAUUAAUUUUAAUUAUUUGUGUUUUGAUUGGUGNUG
rnacentral:rRNA from 1 species